CGAACGGCCUUGUUCAAGGCCACUCAGUGUACCCAUGACAAGCAAG
rfam:Clonorchis sinensis DNA, scaffold: 1047, strain: Henan.